rnacentral:rRNA from 1 species
CAGCAGCCGCGGUAAUACAGAGGGUGCGAGCGUUAAUCGGAUUUACUGGGCGUAAAGCGCGCGUAGGUGGCUAAUUAAGUCAAAUGUGAAAUCCCCGAGCUUAACUUGGGAAUUGCAUUCGAUACUGGUUAGCUAGAGUAUGGGAGAGGAUGGUAGAAUUCCAGGUGUAGCGGUGAAAUGCGUAGAGAUCUGGAGGAAUACCGAUGGCGAAGGCAGCCAUCUGGCCUAAUACUGACACUGAGGUGCGAAAGCAUGGGGAGCAAACAGGAUUAGAUACCCUGGUAGUCCAUGCCGUAAACGAUGUCUACUAACCGUUGGGGCCUUUGAGGCUUUAGUGGCGCAGCUAACGCGAUAAGUAGACCGCCUGGGGAGUACGGUCGCAAGACUAAAACUCAAAUAAAUUGACGG